UUUCCGUAGGUGAACCUGCGGAAGGAUCAUUAGUGAAUUUUAGGGUACGAGCUCGCUCGGCCCGACCUCCACUUCUAACACUGUGCACUUGAUGGCUUGUCUUUGGACUUGCCUUUUACUUUUUAAACAUUAGUCCAAGAAUGUAACGAAUUAUCGAAACAAAAAAAAACUUUCAACAACGGAUCUCUUGGCUCUCGCAUCGAUGAAGAACGCAGC
rnacentral:misc_RNA from 1 species